GGCAACCAGCCUGCAGCAGGGGGUUGGGACUGGGUGGUCUGUAAGGUCCCUUCCAACACCACCCAUUCUGUGGCCCUGUGAUCUGUAUGUUCAGUACAGUGACACCAAACACCUGAGCUUCACUCUUCCUGAACAUCAGACCUGAUGUGUUUUUUUUUUUUAAGAUAGAGAUGAUGUAUACCCUCUCAAAGUACAUUAUAUAAAAAUUGUAUUGAUAUGACCUUGGAACUUUACAAAUAUCCUUUUACUUUGUUUUGAAGGUCUUAUCCUUCCCCCUGCACCUGGCAUUUUCUGAGAGCCCACGGGGCUGUACAUAGCAGUGCAGGGAUGAGUGGUGUGCAGGAGCUCCCAAGUGCUUGGUGUGAGUGAGCAGUACCCAUCUGUGGCUUCAGUGACUGAAGCCUCGUGAAAAUGCCAGUUAAGCCCUUCUCAAAUUAUGCUCUGCGGGUGUAAGGAUGUCUUAGAAAUUGCAGAGAAGGUUGGUUCUUCCAUUUCCUUACUAAUUACUUUUUUCUCUGAGUACGGCACCCAGCCGUUUCACCGGCGCCCCCUUAAGCCAGCGCUAAGCCGCCCGUCGGCCCGGUGGCUCAGCGGUCCGCCCUUAGGAGCGCAGCCGCCGCCUCCCCGCCUGCCGCUCGGCCCUCCCGGCACCGCCCCCCGCGGCACUCCGGAGGCGUCAGCGAUGGAAAGGCCAAACACUGCAUGGAAUAAAUAGCAUCGCACAGCUUUUCCCGGUGAUAAAUUGGAGUCAAUUCUUUCUAAGCACAAGGAAUGGAGAGCAGGCAGAAGCAAUAAAAGCAGCCUGUAAACAGGGAGUAUUAAGCAAAUUCAUUACAGAAAAAGGUACCUCAGAACUGAGUUACUGACAUAGUGACCAUACAGGAUGAAAAGGAAAGAAUUGCCCAUUUUUCAGAUGCCCAAGUUUGUUUUGUGUAACAAUGUUUUACUGUGAAAAAUGAAAGAAUCUUUCUAGACACCUUAAAGGUAGCUGUUGGACUUAGAAAAAUGCUUUGUUUGAGGCAAGUUUGCUUGUCUGCACUUAGACGUUACCAAGCCCGAACUCUGAGCAGCGAUCUGCUUCUGAGCCAGAUAAACAACUGUACCCAUGAAGAUGAAGUGUUCAGCCUUGUUGGAAGGAACAAGGCUAGGCUUUCUGAAAAGCAUGUGGGAAUUGCAUUGAACGUGCUGUGGCAGUUGCAGAAGAAGAAGCCUCUUCUCUUAAGGACUACUGACUACAUAAGAAAUCACUCCCAGUUUCUAACUCUUUGCUUUUUAGCAGAAAACAAAGUAGAACACAUGGAUAAUGAAGCAAUAGUGGACACUCUGUAUAGUAUACUGAGGCUCAAUGUAGAAAGCCCUGAUUCACUGGCGGGAGUGCUCGUUACAGAAGCAUGGAAAAGAUUAGAAAGCCUUAGUUUACCAGCUUUGUCUAAAUUUGCACUGUGUUUGCACAAGCAGCGCAGACAUUUUAGUCCCCUACUUGGCAAAAUAGCACAUCUUGUGGACAUGAAACUGGAUUCUAUACAGGAUAUAAGGAUCUUGUCAGUUUUGAUGAUCAGUGUAUCUGAUGUCAUCUCACGGAAUUUUCAAGAUCGAUUACUGCAGAAGGCAGAACAACUAUUGGGAGAAGAAGUCCACUUCAACUACGCCAAAAGAAUAGUACAGUUUCUUCAACUUAUUAAACUGACAUAUCCUCCAUUGCUAGAAAAAUGCAACAAGAUUUUCUUAAAAAACACCUCUCAUCUUGAUUUAGACAAUAUUAGUCUUAUUUUUGGAUUAUAUGAGCAGCUGGGUUUUGACAAUGCUGAAUUCCGCUUGAUUGCUAAACAGCUGCUGGCUAAAUCAAUAGAUGAUUAUCAUGAUCCUGAAGCCUUUGCAAAAUUAUUUUUUGUUCUUGGGCCUCUGGCUGGGUCGAAGGUAAGAGAAAGGUUGCUAGCAACUGCAGCACACAUCGCAGACGGAUUUAGCAGUCAUCAAGUGUUAGUGAUACUGAAGACAAUGCAGAAAAUGAAAUGUAGACAUUCUCACCUGCUUGAAAAAAUGGUUUCUGUUCUGCACAGACACUUGGAUAGCUAUCACAUAUUGCAGUUGGUAAGGUUAACACAGUGCUUGGUGUCGUUGCAUUGCUAUGAUCAGGAGUUGUUUACCAAACUGAAAAUGUUGUUAUUUGGUUUUUUAAAAUCUAGUGUCAUACCUGCUGAUACAGCUGCAAUAAUUCGUGCACUAGCGAUGCUUCCAUCAUCUCAAGUGGAGGAAAUCAUUAUAAACAAAGCAACAGCAGCUCUACCUCAAUGCAGGCUCCAGCACCUGAGUUGCAUUGCUACAGCUCUUGUCAAGUGGAAUCAUUAUGACAAGUUGCACUGGCAAAACACUUCUGAGCUACAUGUAAAGCUUCUGCAAAAACUAAAUGACUGUGGAUUUCAGAGGCUUCAGAAAGCCAGGAACUUAAAUCUCCUGUUGGAAGAACUCACACAUGUGAAUGGAGAGUGGUUGCAGGAAGUCAUCAGCGAGGAGACUGUGGUUGCAUGUCAGCGCUUGAUAGAUCAAGUAACAUGGGCGAAUGUAUUACAGUUGUCUAUUUUUCUCAUAAAAACAAACUACCGCUGUCCUUCGUUACUUGACAGAAUAGCGUCUGUGACUGUUCAAAAUAUAAACAAGAUCCAUCCAUUAGAAAUGUAUUUCAUUCUCUGUCUUUUCUCUGUUCUGAACUAUGAUCCUCCUGCCAGUGAAGAGUUCUUUGAGAGUUGUAUCCAACGUCUGACUUCUAACCUGAGUUGUUUUGAAACUCACCACUUGGUGCUGCUGGGUUACAUUUUGUCAGUGGCUGGGUAUUUUCCUCCAGCUCUCAUAAAGACAGUAUUUGAUGUUUCCUUCCUAAGUAGAUUGGAUGCUCAACUUGAAGUCCUGUCUGAUACCUUAAAGCAGAGGGUUCGCUCACGGCUUAUGAAACUGAACAGAGCAGUCUGUCUGGAAUGUCCAGAGUUUCACAUCCCUUGGUUUCAUGAGCAUUAUUUCCAGCGUGUCUUGUGUAAAGGCAUUAGUCGAAUAAAUCCACUGCGCCAGCAUGUUCACACAAUGCUGGCAGAGAUCUUAGGAGGGAGCCAUUAUGCAAGAGCAUCUGUUCUUACACCGUACUACUAUGAAAUAGAUUUUGAAUGCAUUCUGGAUAAAAAUAAAAAGCCUCUUUCUUACACGGCUCAGAAUAUACUUCUGGAUGAUUUGAGGGCAAUACACUUGAGACAUGACAUCAAGGAUGAAGAGAGAAAAGCACUGCCACAGGGGGCUCAGAGAAUUGCUUUGGAAUUUCUUGAUUCAAAAGCUUUUAGUAAAGAUUCACGUCACCUGAAAGGAGAACCUGCAGCGAAAAAACGACACCUGGAAAUACUGGGGUACCGGGUCGUUCAGAUUCCUCACUUUGAAUGGAAUUCUAUGGUUCUGUCCACAAAACCUGAACAGCUAGAAUAUCUGAGAAAACGUCUGUAUGAAACACAGUGAUACCAAACAUAUCAGAGAUAACGUGGGUGACAGCGUCAGGGGAGGGUGUUGUGCGGUGAGGAACCUCCAGCUGCUUGCUUUUUCUACCCUGUGAUAUGGCAUGUGCAAAAGAAGUAAAGGCUUGAAUCCUCUGGAACGCCUUCACAUACCGGAAAGUAAUAGGAGAAGAAUAUACUUUUGACUGAAUCCAAAAGAAUGCACUGAUGAAAAGCCAGGAAAAAUGGACAGAACUGACUGAAGCUGCAGUGUUCUCCUGAGGCAAUCCUCCUGUGUGCGAUGACUGAAAGCACUAGUAGAUGGUUGUCUGCUUAUGGUCAUGCUGCUUCUGAUCAAACUGACAAGGGCUAAAAAGCGCUGUUGUAGAAGAGUGCUCUGGAGAAAUGCCAUUGAAGGCACAGUAUGUAGAAGGACUAUAGGCACAUUAUAUUUUUAUGUAAAAUAGAGAAGAUAAUUAUGGAAGUUAGGAUAUCAGAAGGCGGGCUUCAAGUCAGAGGGCUGCUGUAUGGCCCUACUUCUGUACAAGUGGGCAUCAAGUAGCAACGUGGGAGUGUAAAAAGUGACAGUGGGUGCAGCUGAAGGGAUCAGUCAGGAAUGGUUAUGGGCUUGAGAUGGACCCUGCAGUUCAGGUACAUUCAAAUUAUGUAUGGAUAAAGUUAUGGAUACUCACAGUAAAGAGAGGAUUAAAACUGA